rnacentral:SRP_RNA from 1 species
GUUGGGUGUGGUGACAUGUGUCUGAUGUCCCAGCCAUUCAGGAGGCUGAAGUGGAAGGAUCACUUGAGCCCUAGAGUUCUGAACUAUGCCAUUCAGGUGUCCACACUAAGUUUUGCAUCAAUAUAGUGACUUCCAGGCACGAGAGACCACCAGAUUACCUAAGAAGGGGCGAAUUAGCCCGGGUUGGAAAUGGAGCAUUUCAAAACUGAUUAAUGGGGGAUUGCGCCUGUGAAUAGCUACGACACUCCAGCCUGGGCAAGAUAGUGAGACCAUGUCU